GCCCCCGGCGCCCCCUGCCGUUCCCCCGCCGCCCGCCGCCCGCAGCGGCUCCUGCCGGCCGGAGGGGGGAAGGGAAAUGCCCCGCUUUGGGGUUUUUAGUGGAUAGAAGGGAGUUUUUUGGGGGGGUUUGGGUUAGUUUUGGAGGCGGAGAGCCGGGGGAGAAGGCAAGGCACAGAGGUGUUCCUCUGAGGGGUGAAAACCCUGAGGGGUUUUGGUUUAGGGUGUGAAGUAAUCCUAAGGCAGUGGUACCGCUUUUACUUCACGUUUACAUGAGGAAAGCUGAAGAGAAGGCAGAGGUGCACCAAGAGGCUCCAAAUUAACCAGCCCAGGGAGCUGGGGAUAGCCCAAGGGGGAAGGGAAGCCCAGAGGUCGGAGAGGGGCCUGGGGCUCGGCCCCACAGCCAGCAAGGCCUCGGCCACCCCAGCGAUCGCCAUCCUCGAGAGCAAAGCGGCUGCCAAAAUGGGAGAUUUCUCUUGGGAAAGGUGCUCCAGCACCUCAAAAUGCCUGUCCUUGUUACAGCAGCAUCGUUUUGUGUGAGCCUGGCACUGAUGCAGAACAGGUGAAUGAAACCUCCGGAGAGCCUUAAAGAGCAUUACCAGCUUUAUUCUACAGAAAUCGAGAAGCAGAAAUUUUGCAUUUUGCUCCAGACCAUGGACAGGACUCACUGCUAAAGCUGAGGAGGAAGAACCAAAAAGAUGAGAAACCUCUGCGUUCUUAGAGUCCUGUCACACAGCCCUUUGGAGCAACACUGCUUCUUCCAGACAAGAGGCAAGGAGACACUCCCCAGCUUUCUUCCAGCUAUCCUCCAAGUUCCUAGAAAAAAGAUUGGAACGAUAAUGUGA
rnacentral:lncRNA from 1 species